rnacentral:rRNA from 1 species
GAGUUUGAUCCUGGCUCAGAUUGAACGCUGGCGGCAUGCCUAACACAUGCAAGUCGCACGCGAAAGGGGGCAACUCCUGAGUACAGCGGCGUACGGGUGAGUAACACGUGGAUGAUCUACCUCUUAGUGGGGAAUAACGCUGGGAAACCGGCGCUAAUACCGCAUAAGCCUGAGAAGGGAAAGCAGCAAUGCGCUGAGAGAGGAGUCCGCGGCCGAUUAGCUAGUUGGUGAGGUAAAGGCUCACCAAGGCAAAGAUCGGUAGCCGGCCUGAGAGGGCACACGGCCACACUGGCACUGAAACACGGGCCAGACUCCUACGGGAGGCAGCAGUGGGGAAUCUUGCACAAUGGGGGAAACCCUGAUGCAGCGACGCCGCGUGAGCGAUGAAGCCCUUCGGGGUGUAAAGCUCUUUCGGCAGGGAAGAUAAUGACGGUACCUGCAGAAGCAGCUGCGGCUAACUACGUGCCAGCAGCCGCGGUAAUACGUAGGCAGCAAGCGUUGUUCGGAGUUACUGGGCGUAAAGGGUGUGUAGGCGGUUCUUUAAGUUUGGUGUGAAAUCUCCCGGCUCAACUGGGAGGGUGCGCCGAAUACUGAGGGACUAGAGUACGGGAGAGGAAAGUGGAAUUCCUGGUGUAGCGGUGAAAUGCGUAGAUAUCAGGAGAAACACCGGUGGUGUAGACGGCUUUCUGGACCGUAACUGACGCUGAGACACGAAAGCGUGGGUAGCAAACAGGAUUAGAUACCCUGGUAGUC